rnacentral:rRNA from 1 species
CGGUAAGGCCCUUCGGGGUACACGAGUGGCGAACGGGUGAGUAACACGUGGGUAAUCUGCCCUGCACAUCGGGAUAAGCCUGGGAAACUGGGUCUAAUACCGAAUAGGACCACAGAACACAUGUCCUGUGGUGGAAAGCUUUUGCGGUGUGGGAUGGGCCCGCGGCCUAUCAGCUUGUUGGUGGGGUGAUGGCCCACCAAGGCGACGACGGGUAGCCGGCCUGAGAGGGUGUCCGGCCACACUGGGACUGAGAUACGGCCCAGACUCCUACGGGAGGCAGCAGUGGGGAAUAUUGCACAAUGGGCGAAAGCCUGAUGCAGCGACGCCGCGUGGGGGAUGACGGCCUUCGGGUUGUAAACCUCUUUCACCAUCGACGAAGGUUCGGGUUUUCUCGGAUUGACGGUAGGUGGAGAAGAAGCACCGGCCAACUACGUGCCAGCAGCCGCGGUAAUACGUAGGGUGCGAGCGUUGUCCGGAAUUACUGGGCGUAAAGAGCUCGUAGGUGGUUUGUCGCGUUGUUCGUGAAAUCUCACGGCUUAACUGUGAGCGUGCGGGCGAUACGGGCAGACUUGAGUACUGCAGGGGAGACUGGAAUUCCUGGUGUAGCGGUGGAAUGCGCAGAUAUCAGGAGGAACACCGGUGGCGAAGGCGGGUCUCUGGGCAGUAACUGACGCUGAGGAGCGAAAGCGUGGGGAGCGAACAGGAUUAGAUACCCUGGUAGUCCACGCCGUAAACGGUGGGUACUAGGUGUGGGUUUCCUUCCUUGGGAUCCGUGCCGUAGCUAACGCAUUAAGUACCCCGCCUGGGGAGUACGGCCGCAAGGCUAAAACUCAAAGAAAUUGACGGGGGCCCGCACAAGCGGCGGAGCAUGUGGAUUAAUUCGAUGCAACGCGAAGAACCUUACCUGGGUUUGACAUGCACAGGACGCCGGCAGAGAUGUCGGUUCCCUUGUGGCCUGUGUGCAGGUGGUGCAUGGCUGUCGUCAGCUCGUGUCGUGAGAUGUUGGGUUAAGUCCCGCAACGAGCGCAACCCUUGUCUCAUGUUGCCAGCGGGUAAUGCCGGGGACUCGUGAGAGACUGCCGGGGUCAACUCGGAGGAAGGUGGGGAUGACGUCAAGUCAUCAUGCCCCUUAUGUCCAGGGCUUCACACAUGCUACAAUGGCCGGUACAAAGGGCUGCGAUGCCGCGAGGUUAAGCGAAUCCUUUUAAAGCCGGUCUCAGUUCGGAUCGGGGUCUGCAACUCGACCCCGUGAAGUCGGAGUCGCUAGUAAUCGCAGAUCAGCAACGCUGCGGUGAAUACGUUCCCGGGCCUUGUACACACCGCCCGUCACGUCAUGAAAGUCGGUAACACCCGAAGCCAGUGGCCUAACCCUUUGGGA